rfam:Hordeum vulgare subsp. vulgare, WGS project CAJW01000000 data, contig: morex_contig_1559097
UAAGUACUCCCUCCGUCCGGAAAUACUUGUCAUAAAAAUGGAUAUAAUGGAUGUAUCUAUAANNAAAAUAAGUCUAGAUACAUUCAUCUCGAGGACAAGUAUUUCUGGACGGAGGGAGUAGAAA